GAUGAAGAACGCAGCGAAGUGCGAUAAGUAGUGUGAAUUGCAGAAUUUCGUGAAUCAUCGAAUCUUUGAACGCAAAUUGCACUCUCCGGUUUUCCGGGAGAGUAUGCCUGUUUGAGGGUCAGCCUAAAUAAAUUCGGCUUCGUUGCUGUUGUUUUCGCGGUAACGUUUUGUCGGAAUUUGGGUCAUCUUAAACCGAAAGGUUUUUAAGCGACUUAAAAUAUUUUUUACGAUCCCACGAACGUUUCUAAGAUCUUCUUACACGUUCAAGGUAUCGAAUAACCCUAUUAGACGUGGCCGUCGUAUCGGAUCGCGUCCAUAAUAUUUAUUCUUUAACUGACCUCAGACAGGUAAGAGUACCCGCUGAACUUAAGCAUAUCAAUAAGCGGAGGA
rnacentral:misc_RNA from 1 species